rnacentral:rRNA from 1 species
UACGUAGGGUGCGAGCGUUAAUCGGAAUUACUGGGCGUAAAGCGUGCGCAGGCGGUUCGUUGUGUCCGAUGUGAAAGCCCCGAGCUUAACUUGGGAAUGGCAUUGGAAACUGGCGAGCUGGAGUGUGGCAGAGGGGGGUGGAAUUCCGACGUGUAGCAGUGAAAUGCGUAGAGAUGUGGAGGAACACCGAUGGCGAAGGCAGCCCCCUGGGCCAACACUGACGCUCAGGCACGAAAGCGUGGGGAGCAAACAGG